GCCAACACUGGGACUGAGAACUSCCCAGACUCCUACGGGAGGCUGCAGUCGAGAAUCUUUCGCAAUGGGCGAAAGCCUGACGAAGCGACGCUGUGUGWGCGAUGAAGGCCCUAGGGUCGUAAAGCUCUUUCGCCUGUGAACAAGAGA
rnacentral:rRNA from 1 species